CAGCUAGGGAUCUUGUUAAAAAGCAGAUUCUGAUUCAGGGACCAAGAUUCUGCAUUUUUAGCAAGUUCUCAAGUGAUG
rnacentral:pre_miRNA from 1 species